rnacentral:rRNA from 1 species
AGCGAACGUUUGCGGCGGGCCUAACACAUGCAAGUCGAACGCACUAGCAAUAGUGAGUGGCGCACGGGUGCGUAACACGUGGGUAAUCAACCCUUCAGCUUGGGAUAACGACUUGAAAGGGUCGCUAAUACCGGAUACGGCGCGGGAGGCUUCGGCUUCUCACGAGAAAGCCUCGCAAGGGGCACUGAAGGACGAGCCUGCGGCCCAUCAGCUAGUUGGUGAGGUAAGAGCUCACCAAGGCGAAGACGGGUAGCUGGUCUGAGAGGAUGAUCAGCCACACUGGAACUGAGACACGGUCCAGACUCCUACGGGAGGCAGCAGUGGGGAAUAUUGCGCAAUGGGCGAAAGCCUGACGCAGCCACGCCGCGUGAGCGAUGAAGGCCUUCGGGUCGUAAAGACUCUGUGGGGAGGAGACGAAGAAAGACCCGUGAAGAGCGGGCCGUUGACGGUAUCUCCUUAGCAAGCACCGGCUAACUCCGUGCCAGCAGCCGCGGUAAU